GUACUCGCUUCGGCAGUACAUAUUCUAAAACUGCACCGGUACAGAGACGAUUGACAUGGCACCUGGUCAAGGCUGCCACGCAAAAUCGUGAAGCAUUCUGCUUAAGA